GACGAACGCUGGCGGCGUGCUUAACACAUGCAAGUCGAGCGGUAAGGCCCUUUCGGGGGUACACGAGCGGCGAACGGGUGAGUAACACGUGGGUGACCUGCCCUUAGCUCUGGGAUAAGCCUGGGAAACUGGGUCUAAUACCGGAUAUGACUCCAUGACGCAUGUUGUGGGGUGGAAAGCCUUGUGCGGCUAGGGGAUGGGCCCGCGGCCUAUCAGCUUGUUGGUGGGGUGANGGCCUACCAAGGCGACGACGGGUAGCCGGCCUGAGAGGGCGAUCGGCCACACGUGGGACUGA
rnacentral:rRNA from 1 species